GGAUCUAAGAAUCCUACUUGGAUACCUGUGGUAAUUCUAGAGCUAAUACACGCAAAGAAGCCCCAACCUGACGGACGGGGCGCAUUUAUUAGAACAAAACCAAUUGGCUUCGGCCAUUACUUGGUGAAUCUGAAUAACUACGCUGAUCGCACGGUCUCGUACCGGCGACAUAUCCUUCAAGUGUCUGCCUUAUCAACUGUCGAUGGUAGUCUAUAAGCCUACCAUGGUUGUAACGGGUAACGGAGAAUAAGGGUUCGACUCCGGAGAGGGAGCCUGAGAAACGGCUACCACAUCCAAGGAAGGCAGCAGGCGCGCAAAUUACCCACUCUCAGAACGAGGAGGUAGUGACGAAAAAUAACGAGACAGUUCUCUAUGAGGUCUGUCAUCGGAAUGGGUACAAUCUAAACCCUUUAACGAGGAUCUAUUGGAGGGCAAGUCUGGUGCCAGCAGCCGCGGUAAUUCCAGCUCCAAUAGCGUAUAUUAAAGUUGUUGCGGUUAAAAAGCUCGUAGUUGGAUCUGCGGUCAUUGACGCCGGUUUCCUUCACGGAAUACUGGUUGUCAUGACCUACCUUGCCAGUUUUCCCUUGGUGCUCUUUACUGAGUGCCCUGGGUGGCUAGCAUGUUUACUUUGAAAAAAUUAGAGUGCUUAACGCAGGCUUUUGCCUGAAUAGUGGUGCAUGGAAUAAUGGAAUAGGACCUCGGUUCUAUUUUGUUGGUUUUCGGAGCACGAGGUAAUGAUUAAGAGGGACAGACGGGGGCAUUCGUACUGCUGCGUUAGAGGUGAAAUUCUUGGAUCGCAGCAUGACGAACAA
rnacentral:rRNA from 1 species